rnacentral:lncRNA from 1 species
CUGAUUGAAGUCUCUUCUUUAUUUUAUCUAGAAUAAUUAAGGUGUAUUAGCUUUCGGAAGCAGUUGAUGCAAAAAUUUUAACAAUUUUAUAAAACUUUUAUUGAUUCAUCUAUUUCUUAUUUUAAGAUUAACAAAUUAAUCUUAGUAUUGUCGACAAACGUGUAAAACUUGAACAAUUUAGAUACAAAGGUUUCUUUAAGUCACUUUUAAUGAAUCAUACACAUGUUCUUGUUAGUAGUUAUAUUUUCCAUUAUUUCAUGAAUUAUAUCUUCCAUGUGAUUACUGAUAAGAACUUCAUCUAUGCAUGAAUAUCUUUCAUCCUUUAGAAAUAGAGAUAGUAUUCAAUCUUCUUCUACUUUCCAUAAACACCUCCUGCACUUCUUCCUUUAUAGAAUUAUUUUCCACACUGUCCUCUUCAUGAACCUGUAAAAAGAAAAGGCUGAAAUGUCUCUGUCAUGCCUAUCUUCAUAUCUUCCCUUCCUUCAACUUUCCUCUUGGAUUCUCAUUAUGCUUGAUGCCCUUUUAAUUUAUUCAAUCUACCAAACUUCAUUACACAUUUAAAAAUAAGGACCUAAAUGUAAAUCUUACACUAGUUCAGAAAGGGCUUUAGACAUUUGUUAUUUUGGACUUUUAACGUAUGUUAUUUUGAGCUUUUAACGUCUAUUAACCAACCAACGUCAUUACCGGUGACGUCAAUGAGAUGUCGGAUAUCCAUGUAACAGACGUUUAUAAUGACGUCAAUUAGUGCCAUGUCUGACGUGACUAGACGUCGAUAUAGGCUUAACCCGACGUCUAAAGACACAAUAUAGACGUCGAAAUACACAUUAACUUACGUCUAAAAGCACAUAAAGACUUCGAACAUCUCACUAACCGACGUCUAAGGUCACUAUAGACGUCGGUCUUUGCAUUAACCGAUGUCUAAUACAGUCGUUGUGUUUUAGUAUAGUUUUGAUCCUGUCUUUGGAUAGCUUAGUAGCACACUCUGCCUUUGCUAGUUUUCCCCAAAAAAAAACUUGCGUCUUUUGAAUUUGUCAUGACAUUUCAACCCAAAACCGUACCUGGGUUCUUGCUUAGUUCUAUUUUCAACCACAAGAGGGACAAAUUACGGUGAAACGAUAACUAGGCAACGACCUAGGGUCGUUUUUGGGUCGAAACGCCACCAGAAAUCCAAAAGACGCCGCUUUUUCUGGGAAGCAGCUAGCAAAGGAAGAAUGUGGUACUAUGUUACCCCAAGAAAGGAACAAAACUACACUUAAACACAACACAAAGAAAACAAAUUUUAAUCAUUGAACCAGAAGAUAAUCGAUGAAAGACUGAACAAGGUUUAAACGGUAACAAUAAAAAAACACAACCUGGGAUGCAAUGCCGCAAGAGAGAAAAAAUGGAGGAGGAAGACGAUGAUGUUAUCAGAAACAAUAAUGCAAUGCCGCAAGAGAGAAAAAGGAGAGGAGCCGCAAGAGAGAAAAAGGAGAGGAGGAAGACGAUGAUAUCAGAAACUGUAAUGUCGCAAAGAGUCUGUGGUUUAUUUAACAUGAAAUGGGGCGUCGGUUGCUACAGAAACCGGCUUCUAUAUCACAUAGACGUCGGUGAUGUAACUAAUAUGACGUCAAAGAUAACUUUUAAUCUGACUUUUUGAAUGCACAUUAGACGUCCAAUAGCACGGGAGCCAACGUCUAUUGCGCUGAACCGAUUGGCGUUUCAUUUCGUGUUAGGGAAGUAGACGACAGUUGUCCAAGGUGCCGACGUCUAUAACAAUAUAGACGUCGGGGCUCUGUUAUCUGACGUCGAAGUGCCUACGAGUUUGGUGAACAUCAUUAAUUACAUGCACAUAAACGUUGCCCACCGAGAAAUCCGACGUCUAUAUUGCAGAAAUUGAUGUCUUCUCGCCUUCCGGACAUACCAUAGACGUCGGUUUUUUAUUACGUGACGUCUAAGCGCUUGGGAAUCAGGUGAAGAACAUUAAUUGCAGGCAAGUAGACGUCAGUCCCCUAGAAUAACUAACGCUUGUCUUCUCGCCUACCUCAGGCCAUUGGACGUCGGUUUAGGGCAGAACAUAUGUCUUUCCCUAGAAAGCGACGUCUUGAUGACCACCUUAUUUACGAUAAUGCCACCGUUCAUUUGUGGGUGACGUUAAACAAUGUUUUUCACUAGUGUUACUUUUUAUCUCUUAAUAUAAGUAUAUUAUCUCUUCUUAUAAUUACUAAAAAAACCAAGUAGCAUUUUCAUUUAUUGCAUUAUUAAUAACAGCUUAAACCAAAAACAAAAGAAAAAGAUAAAUUUACAUAGUUGCCACGAAUGGCAUAGUGUGAAAGAUAAAAUAGUGGCAUAAUUAAAUGAUUGAAAAUCUGAAAUUGCAAGUAUAUAAUUAGAGGGAAAAAUUAUUUUCAACGAUGAGCAUAAUUAAAACAAGAUUUGAUCCUGUGAUUGUUGUGGUCUGUGAUGAUUCCAAUUGAAACGAAGAAUAAUUAGGUUUUGAUUUUGACUUCACAGUCUACUCUCACCCAAAAGAUUUUGGAAAUAUGAAAUAGUGAAAGAGAUGAGGAGAAAUCUCUCUUGUGUUGAAUAUACACAUAGAGUCCUUUAUUUAUAAUAGAAGAAAUAUGGGUUAAGCCCCAAAAUACAAAUAAGAAAUAUAAACAAACUAAAUAAAAAAUAUAAAUUAUCUAACUAAAGAUAAGAGAUAAAUAUAAACUAAAUAUAAUAUUUCUAACAGGAAACAUGAUAUAUAUCUCAUAAAUUAAGCAUUACACACAGAAUUAAAAGUUAGAAAAAAUAAAAAAAUAAUUUUAAUAUUUGAUGUGCUUGAUCUUGUCUUGAAAAUAAGUGCUUCUCUGGCAAAUUGGAAAGAUGAAAUUAAGUUGAAUGUGAGAUGACAGUGGAAGAUUAUUAUUGUACAUAAAUAAUUAGGAAAAUCUGGGCACGUGGUCUGCCCAUUAAGGAAAGGUGACACUUGAGUCACCAUAUCUCUAUAUUUCGGAUCUCAAUCUCCUCCAUGCCAACAACAACAACUAAUAAUCACAAUUAAUAUAUAUAAUAAAAAUAUACAUACAUAAGAAAUAUAAAUAUAGUCCAAUACCACCAACUAUGUUUUGAUCAAUAGACAAACACUAUGCAAGUUGCACCACCAAAAGACAUCCUUCUUUAACUUGUCUAAAUUUGUAUGCUUUUAUAUUUGUAUUUAUCUAUUAAUUAAGAUAUCAUCUUCAAUUGAAAUUCUUUUCUGUUUCAAAUUGUUAUAUAAUUUAAUGUUCAAAAUUUAAAAAUAAAUAUUAUGAUUAAUUUAAUCCAACUGUAUUUAAUUUUUUUAACAUGUAAUGUUUAAUUUGUUUAUUCUGUUUAUCUCAUAUUUCAUUGUAAUAUAAUUAGUAAUUUUAGUGACAAAAAUUAAUUGGUUAUUAUAGUAACCAAUUUAUAUUUAUAAAGCUAAAAAUUAUUAGUUAAUUAUAAAUAAAAAAAAUGUAAUUAAUUUGUUAAUUGAUUUUUAAAAUUAGUAAUUAAAGUUUUGGAUAUUAAAAGAAUUAGUUUGUGAAUUCGUCACCAGUUAAUUAAAGAGAAAUUUAGAAAUUAAUUCUUUUGGUAACUAAAAUCUUGGUAACUAAUUUUAUAGAUCAACUUACAAACAAUCAUAACUUUUUAUUUAUAAUAGUAGCUAUUUUAAUAAUUAAUAAUUUUUAAUUUUUUAAAUUGAUAUCUAAAUUGGUCAUUAUAAUGACUAAUUAUUUGUUGUCACUAAAUUGAUUAUUAUAUAGAGAUUUUAUUGUAAUGUUUCAGCUUAGAUCUAGAACGGUAUUUAAUACGUAAAAAAAAUUAACAUGGUUGGAUUAAAAGAACUAUAUCUACACAUUUUUAAAAUUUGAGGAGAAAAAUGUGUCAAAGUUUGGGAUAUUAAGGAAUUUCAAGUUCAAGUUUAAAAACUAAAAACAUAUUUAACUCUUAUAUUUAUUUCAGUGUUGAGUAAUUUAUAUAUGUUUUGAAUCUAUGUGUAUUUAUGAUAAAAAACAGAGAUUUUUUUUAGCCCAAAUAUAAAAAUGACAAAUCUCCUACUCAAAUUUUCUCUUUCAUUUUCUAUAUAAAUCUUUGCACAUUCAUCUAAUUCAUUCACACUCAUCUCCUUAUUUUGAUACACAUCUCAAUCAUUGACACUCGUCUCCUCCAUCUACACAAACAUUCCUCAUGCAUACUCUUAUUCUCAUAUUCUUCAUUUACAUUCAUUACCUUUAUACAUUACAUUAAUCUCUUUCAUCCACACUCAUCUCCUUCAUCUACUAUAAUUAUUUUUUUCUAUUUUUUCAUUUGUAUUUUACUUUAUUGAAGAAUAAGUGAUGUUUUUUUUUUUUUAAAGUUAUUGUAAUUAGCAUCUGCCAAACCGAUGCAAAUUUAAUUAAUGUUAAAAAUAUUUAUAGUUUUAGAGUGACAUAAACAUACAACUCAAACUCAAUUAUACUAUUGACUAAUUAACAUUGAUUUCUACUAACAUCGACCAAAACUCAAUGUUAAGUGGAUAUUUUCAUAUAGUGAUUGGAUACAUGGAGUUCUCUAUCUUUACUUCGAAAAAUUGGAUAAUGCACAACUUUAUUAAAUAAAUAUUUUCAUAAAAAAGAAGCAUUGAAAAAAUAUUAGUUAUUAAUGAAUUAUUUUUUAUUAGUAGAAAGACCUAAUAAAUCAAUUACAUCCAACUCUUUCUUUUUUUACAGCAAAAUCAAAUCAAUAUCUCUUAUUUUAUGUUAAAGUUAAAGCAAAUUCAGGAGUAGAAACUAUCUCUAUAUCAUAUCUAUACUUUCUUUCUGUUUUUAUAUUUAUUAUUAUCUCUCCUAUUUCACUUGGAAGUCCACAAAUAUCAAAACUCUCUUUUGUUAUAUAAUCCACUUCGUGGGAUAAUUUUAGGGUUUGUGCCAACACAUUCGAGAGGUCCAUCAAACCACCCAUAACACUAGAUGUAUUUUUUAUUUUCUUUAUCAGAAACAAUUUUUUAUCAACAAUAAUUAAUAUAUAGCAUUAAUAAAGAGAUUAUUUCUGUUUUAUGUUCAGAAAUUUUACCAAUCUUACUUUGAUUGUUUUGGAUUUUUUUUAAAUUAAAAUAAUCAUUAGUACAAACAGCAAGUAAUAAACAAAAGAUUAUACAGGUUUCUAAUUUGGAGAUACAAAACACAUGGCUGUCCCUAGGAUAAGGUGGUCCUAGACCUGUCUUUUGGCCAUCCUACAAGAAAACAUACUAUUUGUAUUUAUAUAAAUUUUAUUAUUAGUUAUGUGUAUUAAUAACUCAAGUAUUUUUAUUUUAUUUUUAAAUAGAGUUCAAACCCUGCUAUAUUUUAAUUUUCUAGAAGGCUUUAAAAAGCUUUUAGAGAAUUGAUACUCGUACAACAUUUUAUAUAAUAUCUGUUUCCUUUUUGUGUGUGUGUUUAUGGCUUCCCAACAUUAUGUAUAACAUGUAAAAGAUGAGCAGAAAGGUGAGAUAUAAAACAUACAUUCAUACAAUGCGGCUGGACGAAUAAAAUUUCUAAAUAUUAAUUGGUUAUUAAUUUUACUUAAAUAAAUUGUCUUUUAAUUUACCAAAUUUAAUAUAUAAUUGGCUACUCACUCUAAUAAGGUUUUUUAUAGUAAAAAACAUAGUAUUAUUAUUAAUUUUUUUGUAACUAUAUUUUAUUUCUUAUUAGAAGUAUUAUUGAUUUUUUUGAACGAAUAAUCUCAUUAAAAUAUUUUACUUGUAGUAAGUUAUAUUUUGAUGGGUAAUACCCUUAUUAGUUUAAAAUGAAAUAUUUCAUUUGAGAUUUAUCUUAAACCUAAAACUAUGUUAGAGUUUCCAUUUUAUCCUAAAAUUAGGUGAAUUCAAUGGUAAGGACACUAUGUCCUACAAAGAAAUGAAAAAAGAAAGCCUAAAACUAUGUUGUGUCCUUCUUCCAUUAACUAUUUAGUCCUUCUUCUUACCACUUUACAUGAAUGGUCCACCAAAUAGGGAAUAUUUUGACAUUUCUUCAUUACUUUUCUUUAUCAAUUAGGCGUGCACCAAUGGCCUUUUCUUAUUAUCAUGGACCCUAAUAUUAGAGGUGUGGUGACCACUAUAGUAGAUUCAAUCAUCUCUAAUUGGUGGGACAAUAGUGUUUCAUACCAUCAUUCUAGAUUGGCCAAUGGCCACUUUAAAUCCAAAGAAUCUAAGUAAAUGAGGGUUAAUUAAAUGAGUUUUCUCUUUUGGAAGGUUGUCAUCCAAAUUUGUUAACUCAUAUACUUAACUCCUAAAGUAUUUGAAGUUCAAUUUUAGGCUUUUAAGAAAAAAAAAUUGUUUAUAUUUCUUUAAAUUUAAAAUAUGUUACUUUUAGUCCUCUAAAUAACCUUUUUUAAAAGAAUAAAAUGGUUUGGAUAAUGCUUAAAGGACUAACCAUCCAUAUUGAAAACACCUUUUUAUCUUGUUUCAUAUUCAAUGUAAAGUAACACGUGUAGCUUAUCAUUUAUAUAACUAUUUAUAUUGCAAUUAGUUUUAACUUGAAUGUUAUUGGAAUAUGGAAACUUUUAUCACCUUUUCUUCUUCUUCUUAAUCCACUUAACUUACAUAUUUAAAAUAAUCAUACAUCAAAUGCAUUAUCUUUUUCGAUUUGUAGCAAGACACAUUCUAAUUCAAACAUUAAAUAAAAUAAGAAAACAAAGUAAGAAACUUUAGGAACUUAUCAUUUUGAGAUCUAUUUUAUUUCUCCGUUUUCUUUUAAUUAAAAAUACUAAUUUUUUUUCCUAUUUUAAAAUUAUAUAUAGUUUUUGUUUUAUAUGCAUUUUUUUUAAAUGAAUGAAGCGAAAAUAAUGCAUAAUUUAUAAAUAAAUAUCAGUAUAUAUAAAAAAUGGAAUAAAAAACGUUUUCUUGAAUUAAUUAAUAAGAUAUAAUUAUUUAACGGAAACACCAUCAUCACCCCAAAGAACUUAUUAAGAUAUAUUUUUAUAUUAUCUUAUUAAGGUAUUAAAAUAUAUUUUGAUAUUAUCUUAAGCGAAUUUAUUCCUAAUUCAAUGUAAUUAUAUUUUAUAAUUAUACUUUACUUAUAUAUUAUACUUUGAUUUUGUUUUUUUUUUAUCGAUAUUCAACUAUCAUAUUAAAUUAUCUGAAAUAUAAAAGAUUGAAAAUAAAAUGAUCCUUAACACUUUUAUAAUCUUGUUGUGCUGCAGAUUGGAUUCAGAAUGGAGAAAUAUAUUUAAUUUCUAAAACUGUACUCGUUUUUACAAAUAGAAUCUGGCCAAAUAUGAAUUAAAAUACUCUUUGCAUCAAAAGAUCAGAAUGAGAAAUAUUUGCAAUAUUUUAAUCACUCACAUGAUCGUGCUCCAAUUAUAAUAUUUAUCAUUUAGAAUAAUAAACUUUGACUCCUGAAAGAAAAUUGGAGAUUAGAGAGGCAUAAUUUGAAAGCCAAUUUUAUAUAUAUGCCGGUGACAGAACAAUUUCUCAGGCAGAAAAGACAAAAGGGUAUUCUUUUAUAUGACAGCAUAUUUCUAAAAGGAAAAUUUUGGAAUAUUAAAGACUUGUAAGUGGUAACUACCUUUUUUUUUUAAUUAUUUUAAUUAAAGUUUAUGUUCCUGUUAAACAAAAUAAAAAAUGGGAACAAAUCAUAAAAGAGCAUAGAAACUAUAUGUGAAAAUAUAAAUAUAGUUUAUGAUUGUGUAUUCACUCUUUAAUUUUGUUAUUUUUGGAUAUUUUACUGGUCAUAUGAAAAAAUAUAAGGGAUUUUUGGUUUUUUGUUUUAUUAUGAUUUUGAUUCUAUACGCACAAUGUUAAAACCUUAGAGCUUUAUCUGAUUUUGUAUAUGGAUUAAGAUCGAUAAUGUCUACAUAUAGUUUAUAAUCAUAUCUUUCCCUUUUCCAAUGUAAAAAAUAGUUUUGCAACAUUAUUUAAUUACAAAAUCAUUAUACAAAUUCUAAGAUGUUUAAAAGUAAUUGCAUAAGAUUUGUUUAUAUGAACUUACAAAAAAGAAAAAAGAAAAAAAUAUAGAAAAAGGAAACAUUAAAAUCAAUUAAAAAAAACAAAUAUAUAAAAAUCAUCAUCCUAUGUUAAUUUCCUUAAAAUAUAACUUUAACUUACAACAAACUAGUUUUAGUUUACAGAUAAAUUUAUUUGAUAUUUAUUUUCUUUUCUUUGAAGUGAUUAUGUGAAGUUCAUCCAAACAAUUUUUUGGACCAUUAUAUGUUAACAAUAAUUUUUUUUAACAAUUUUUUUACAAUAGAUUAUGUGUCACUAUUUUAUUGAUCUACAUAUUUGAAAUGGACUAACCACGAAUUAUCACAUAAACGAUGUAAAAAAGGUGUCAAAAAAAGUUGUUAAAAAGACAUUUUCCCAAUUUUUUAGUGAAAGGCACCAUAUAUAAAACUCGAAAAAUAUAUCUUUAACAAUUUUUUUUUAUUACUUUUUUACAAUCGUUUUGUGACCGUAUGUGAUUUAUCUGUUUCAAAUAUACGAACCAAUAAAAGAGUGACAGUUGUCAAAAAAUUGUUAAAAAAGUUGUUAAAAUAUCAUGGUCGAUAAAAUUGAGCAAAUAUGCAAGUGCAUGACAUAAUUUGAUUUUUUUUUUUUUUAUGAUUGAAUAAAUGAGAAUGUUCGAAGAAAGAGCAACAAAGAAGAGUUUGAAAAAAUUGUAUAAAUAAUUUAGGUCAAUAUUGGCUCUUAGAAAAAAGAGCAGAGACAAAAGAUUUGAUUAGUAAAAAGAAAAUUACGUUUUGUUUGUAUAUAUACAUAUAUAUUGUAGUGGUACGUGGGUGUGUAAUAGUGGUAAGCAUGUCAUGCACGUGCAUGGAAUAGAAUAGAGUCCACAGGACUCUGAAGAGUGAUGAGAAGAAUGACGACAACAAGGUUUGAUAAUUAAGAUUAAUAGUUUGGUCUGAUGAAAGGGUAAUGGAUUAAGGAGAAGAGAAGAGAACAGUGGCAAUAGUUUUUUGUCUUUAACUCUAAGCAAAAGGUUGAAAUAGAAUAAUGAAAAGAAUAGUAAUAAUGAACAAGUCAGAUUUUGAGUUUGGUACAAUAACAGCACUUUCUUUGCUUGUUUUUCAAUUCAAAAAUCAACCCAAAAGAUCCGCCAGAUUCUUGAUGAAAUCUGUCGGAUCUUGCUUUCCAAACUGUCAGAUUUCCUUCCUGGAUUUUCUAUCUUCUUGACCUUUUUAAAUCUCUUCAUGCCACCCUCUUUCAUCACUCUUUUCAUCUUUUUCUCUUCUUCUUCUCUUAUUCUUCUCCUGUUUUCGCCUGCAACUGCACACAUCAUUAUCAUAAUAAUCAUGGGUAUGGCUGCAGACGCACAGUUUCAUGUUUUGGCUGUCGAUGAUAGCCUUAUCGACAGAAUGUUGAUUGAGAGACUCCUCAAAACCUCUUCUUUUCAUGGUAAUUUUGUUAUUAUUUUCUUGUGUGUUGUCCUCUUUUUUGAAAAUUUCAGAUGGGGUGAAAUCCUAUUCAUUUUGGUAUGUUUUGUGAUUACAGUUACUGCUGUGGAUUCUGGUAGUAAGGCUUUGAGGUUUCUCGGUUUGGUUGAAGAUGAAAAGAGAACUGAAGAGCCUCCCACCAUUGCUUUAGAAGCCAAUCAGGUUCAGUUUUACUGCAAAAAAUUUAAAAAAGAUGACACAUAGUUAGAAUGAUUUAUGAGAUCUAAUUAAUCCCUUUUGCUUAUUGUAAUUGCAGGAUGUAGAAGUAAACCUGAUCAUAACUGAUUACUGUAUGCCAGAAAUGACAGGGUAUGAUCUGCUGAGAAAAAUCAAGGUAAAACAUGUUUUAAUUAUGUUAAUUAACUCAAAUGAGAUAUUUGUGUAGCUUUAAUGAUGGCAAAUCUGAAACCAAUCUUGUGAUGUGGAUGUUGCUGGAAUCUUGUAUGAAUAACAAAAAGUUAUUGAUUUGCAGGAAUCUAAAUCUCUUAAAGACAUACCAGUGGUGAUUAUGUCCUCAGAGAAUGUUCCAUCAAGGAUCAACAGAUGCCUAGAAGAUGGAGCUGAUGAAUUCUUUUUGAAACCAGUUCAACAGUCAGAUGUAAACAGGCUCAGACCUCAUCUGAUGAAAUCAAAAGUUAAGGAUGAAGAAGAGGAACAGAUGAAUAACAAAAGGAAGGAAACAGCAGAAGAAGAAGAAGAAGAAAAGCAUUCCCCAGAUAAAAGCAGGACAAAAAUGGAGCCUUAAAAACAUGAUGAAACAUCAUAGAUUGUACCUAAAACAUUUACCUCUCCUCUGCCUCACCAACUAACAAGUGAGAAGAGUAGAUCGCACCUCAAUCAUACUAAAGAAAUCACUAGUAUAGCACCUGACAACAAAUUUCAUUUUUCAUUCAAUUUUCUCUGAUACAUAACUUAUACUUUCUUCUCUCUUAUGUCUCCAAUUCACCACAACAUUUCUUCUUUCUGGUAUCUUAUGUUGGAAGGAUUUAAAUUUAGCUGAAUUCAUAAUAUAUAAAUAUAUAAAGUACAGUGUAAAUUUUAUUUUACAAAUCAAUUCUACGAAUUAGAUUUAAAAAUCAUUUACAAAUUGAUUCUACGUAGUUGAGUUAGACUUAAAAAUCAGUUACACUUAAAAAUCAGUUAUUGUAUCGUAUCACAAUCAGAUUAGAGUCUAUAGAUAAAUUCUUAGAUUCUCAAGUCAUUACAGUUAUUGUUAAAAAUAUAAAACUGAGUAAAAACUACAAAAAUAGGUUGCCAAAUCAUAAUUCAAAUCAAUCCGAAUCUUAGAAUUUCAAAUCAAUACAUAUAAACUAUUUCUUUCAAGCAAACCGUGUUGAAUGGCCUGGGUGUAUUUUAAAACCAAUUAAUAAAAAAUAACCUAUUUAAAACCAAUGUGCUAAUAUUUUAAUAAUGUUUUUUUUAAUUUAUUUAUAGGUGUAACUUUUUUGCCUGAAAAUAUUUCACUUUAAAUAUAAAAGAAAUUUAUAUAUAAAUUUUCUCAUAAAGCUUAAAGAAAUGAGAAACAUCGUUGUCACUGUGAAGUCUUUCUAUAGGAUAAUGAUACUUUGACAUCUAGAAUGUGACAAAUUUUUGACAUCGCCACGUGUCAUAUUCUGGGUGGUCCACAUGUUUUAAAAAAGGAAAAUGAUAGUUUGACACCCUUUGGCUGACAAAUUUUUUACACCAAUGACGUGUCAGCCUCUCGUUGGUUCAUCCUUAAAAAAAUAAAAAAAAUAAAUAAAUGACGUGGAAAAUGGAGGGCGGUAUCAGAAAUUGGAACAAAUCAUUUUCUGAAAUUCAAAUUCAUUCUCAGAUCUUGAAAAUGAAACCUAGAGAGAGAACGAAACCCUCCCAACGACCAAAGCCCCUUGACAACUCCACCGUCGUUCGCCAUUCAAUGGCCACCAGAGGUUCACCAAGAGGCGGCGCCGCCGAUCAUCUUCGCGUCUCUUCCCACCGAUCAUAAGCAGUCUCACUCUCGCCUCUGUCACACUCACCCACCAGUCACCGUUGUCGCCAUUGAAGGAGUUCGGAGUUCACCAGAGGUAAUACCGUUCACCGCAACCGUUCCACCGUUAGCUGCUUACGAAGCCAGAAAACGCCAUUAGAGGUCGGUUUUCGAAGUUCUUUUCAUUUAUUUCGCUAUUGGUUAGCUUUUGUUCGGUGGGUUUAAUUUUUCUAAAACUUUUUUAAGCAUUUAGGUUUUGUCUUGAUAAAGUUGAAUGUUUUUCCGAAGUUUUUGUUGAACAUUUGGUUCAAAAUGUCCUUCAUUAGUGGAAAGUUCAAAAUGUCACCACGGAAGUUUAAAAUCGCAAACAAACCUGAUACUCUGGAACGAGUUCUUUCAACUCAUAAUAAAGAUCCUUCAAUAAUCCACAUAAAAGAAAAAUAAAACUUAGUUUAAAAUUUAUAACCAACUUCACGCUAUAAUAAACAUCAAUUAGUCUAAGGUAUCCUUCAUUCCCAAAUUCCAAAGAGAAAUUAUACUAGAAUACCCAAUUCCAAACUUCACCACAAUAACAGUAUUAGCAACACCCUUCUCAGAUUAAACACUGUUCAGAGUAAACUUUUCACCAAGCACCAACGACAAAGAGAUAAGGAUAGAGGAAAAAAGAAAAUACAGUGUUACUGGAGCUUGGAGUUUGGAGCCAUCUAAUUGAAUUCGCGAGAUUAGAUUGUUGACCCUGUCAUUCCAUUGUAAAAGUUAAAAUCAGCAAGUAACAUAAACAAUAAACAAUAAACAAACACAAACAACGCCAAAAACAAAACAGUUAGUUACUGUUUUCCUCAGUUACCACGCGAGAGCGAAGCCGAGAAAGUGCAACUUCUGAAGAAUGCCAUUUGCACUAGUACAACAACAACCUAUACCGGCUUUCAGUGUUGGGAACACAUGAAAUAAGCACUAAAAAUCUUUCACAAAAAAUCGGAUGAAGCACAUGUCGGACGAAAUGUUCAACAAAAACUUCGAAAAACAUUCAACUUUACCCAGACAAAACCUAAAUGCCUAAAAGAGUUUUAGAAAAAUUAAACCCACCGAACAAAAGCUAACCAAUAGCGAAAUAAAUGAAAAAAAGCUUUGAAAACCGACCUCCACUGGCGUUUUCUGGCUUCGUAAGCAGCUAACGGUGGAACGGUAUUACCUCUGGUGAACUCCGAACUUCUUCAACGGCGACAACGGUGGCUGGUGGGUGAGUGUGACAGAGGCGAGAGUGAGACUGCUUAUGAUCGGUGAGAAGAGACGCGAAGAUGAUCGGCGGCGCCGCCUCUUGGUGGACCUCUGGUGGCCGUUGAACGGCGAACGACGGUGGAGUCGUCAAUGGGCUUUGGUCGUUGGGAGGGUUUCGUUCUCUCUCUAGGUUUCGUUCUCAAGAUCUGAGAAUGAAUUUGAAUUUCGGAAAAUGAUUCGUUCCAAUUUCUGAUACCGCCCUCCAUUUUCCACGUCAUUUAUUUAUUUUUUUAUUUUUUUAAAGAUGAACCAAUGAGAGGCUGACACGUAAUUGAUGUCAAAAAUUUGUCACCCAAAGGAUGUCAAUCUAUCAUUUUCCUUUAAAAAAUAAAAUGACAGAACAUGGAUUCAAUGUGUAGUGACAGACCUGGUAUCAAUGUACAAAUAACGCAGAUUCAAAAAUGUUCUUCUCGUGCUAAAAAUUAGCCUAAACUACCCACUUAUUUGUACAUUAAUACCAGGUCUUUCACUACACAUUGAAUCCAUGUUCUGUCAUUUUAUUUUUUAAAACAUGUGGACCACCCAGAAUGUGACACGUGACGAUGUAAAAAAUUUGUCACAUUAUGGAUGUCAAAGUAUCAUUAUCCCUUUCUAUAAUAUGUGGUGGUAACGAGUAUGAGACAAUUAUUACCUAAGAAUGAACUUUUUUUAAUUAAAAUAUCUGAUUAUAUUUUUAUUCCCUAUAAAGUAAGUGAGAUUUGAUUUUGGUUUUAUGAGUAUCAGAAAAUUAACAUUUUAGUGUUGGAAAAAGUCUUCCACUAUAAAUAAAUAAUGCUUAGGUAAAAGAGAUUUGGCAUUGAUAUACAUACACUUUAUAUGUCAACUUUAAGGUUUACUUACGUGGAUAAAUUUAAAUUUUAGGGUUUUAUUAAUAAUUUUGUUUAAAUUUUAUUUUAUUAAUUUUAGGUCUAGUAAUAUUUAAUUUGAUUUGACAGAGAGAUAAAAUAAGGAUGAGUAGUUAUGAUUUUCUAUUUAUCUAGGUAGAAUAUUAUUUUAUAAUAGAAUAAACAGAUUUUAUUUGUAAGUGAGUUGAUAUUUUAUUAUCAGUUUUUAGAGUGUUUCAUCCUACACCUCCGAACUCUCAUCCUGCACCUUCAAAAAUUACCAUUUUAACCUUAAUCAUCAUUAUUUUAAUAUUUUCUCUUUCUUCAUAAAGUCAUUCUGCACCCUCCUCUAACUUUUUCUCUUUCUUAUUAAAGUCAACCUACACCCUUCUAACUUUUUCUCUCUCUUAUUAAAGUCAUCCUAUACCAUUUUAAUAGAUUUUAAAAUCUAUACAGUUUUUUUCUAUAAAUUUUUUAAAUUUCAUUUUGAGUUUUAAAUUUAAUAAUUAUUUAAUUUAAUUUAAAAUUUUAAUAUUAUUUAAUACACGUUUAUAUCUUAAUAAUUAUUAAAGUAUAAUUUUUAUUCUUAUAAUAGUUAUGUUAAAAAAAUAAAAAUAAAAGUAACUAAAAUAAAAGUAGUAAUAAUAAAUAUUAAAAAUUUUGUAAAUAAAAUUAUAUACAAAUUUUUGAAAUAUGUNNNNNNNNNNNNNNNNNNNNNNNNNNNNNNNNNNNNNNNNNNNNNNNNNNNNNNNNNNNNNNNNNNNNNNNNNNNNNNNNNNNNNNNNNNNNNNNNNNNNNNNNNNNNNNNNNNNNNNNNNNNNNNNNNNNNNNNNNNNNNNNNNNNNNNNNNNNNNNNNNNNNNNNNNNNNNNNNNNNNNNNNNNNNNNNNNNNNNNNNNNNNNNNNNNNNNNNNNNNNNNNNNNNNNNNNNNNNNNNNNNNNNNNNNNNNNNNNNNNNNNNNNNNNNNNNNNNNNNNNNNNNNNNNNNNNNNNNNNNNUAGAUUUUAAAAUCUAUUAAAGUAGUGUAGGAUGACUUUAAUAAGAGAGAGAAAACUUUAGGAGGAUGUAGGUUGACUUUAAUAAGAAAGAGAAAAAAUUAGAGAGGUGCAGAAUGACUUUAUGAAAAAAGAGAAAAUAUUAAAAUAAUAUUGAUUAAGGUUAAAAUGGUAAUAUUUGGAGGUGCCCGAUGAGAGCUUGGAGGUGUAGGAUGAAACACCCCAGUUUUUAUUUGUAUUUGGCCCAAUGUCCGAUUUACAUCUAUUUAAAGAUUAUCAAAAUUUAAUGAAAAUAACCUAGAAUGGAUUGAAGUGUAAAAUUUUUUUGUGUGGAUCACUGUUUUUUAACACUUUUUCCUUAAUAAACCCAACAAUAUGUAGUGUGACUGUUAUUAGUAAGUUAACAAAAGUUUUACUUAGUGUUUUUAUCAACAAAUGUAUUUGUCGAUAAAUAACAAAAAUAAAAAAUAGCUGUAUUAAAAUUGCGAGACUAAAUUUUAUAACUGUAAUUAUUAUUUUUAGUAAAGGAAUACUUUAAUAUAAUUGGACGAGAGAUUAUUAACAAUCUGUUUACCCAAAUAUAAAUCCUUUCAUUUACAAAAUUCAUUAGCUUCAGUCUACAAGCACGAAGUAAAAAUAUAAUAGUUUCUUACAUGAAAAUUUGUUACAUAUAUUUAUCCUAAUUAUCAAUUGAUUUUUUUUUUCAGUGGUACCAUUUUAAAAAAGAAAAAUAAUAGAAACUAUUUAUCAAAAUCAUAGCCAAAAAUACCAUAAUAAAAUAAUAGAAUGGAGCAUAAACAUAAAGAUAUUCUAAACGCAACAAGAGUAGUAAGAUUUCAAGAAAACUUUCCCUUUUAUAUUUGGGGUGAAUGCAUUAUAAAUGCAGACUACUUGAUUAAUUUGACACCAUCCUUCAUUCUUGAUAGGAAAACUCCAUAUGGGUUGAUCCAUCGCAAACUUCUACCUAUGAUCACUUGAUAGUCACUUUCAUAUGCUCAUAAUCAACAUUAAAAAAAAAUAGAUAAAUUCAAUAGUAAAAGUCAUAAAUGCAUUUUUGUUGUUGGCUAUUCAGAAAAAAAAAAUGGUGUUUGACUUAGAAAAAUAUGCUUUUUUUUCUUCUUGAUUUUAAUUGAUUAUCUCAUCAGUAUAGUCUAUACUUUCUCUGUGAAGUACAUUUCUUUGAGAAUUAAGGAUGUCAUCAAAAUUAUAGUUGUUUAAAGUAAACUUAGAAAGGGUUUUCAUCAAAUACUUAAAUCUUUCUAUCUAUUUUGGAUAAUUCUCAUAAUUAGGUGCACUUUUCUUACAAUCACAUACAAGGUUUUUGUGGGCAUUUUUUAGAGUUAUAAAGUUAGUUUUUAGAUUUUUAUUUAUAUUUGACCUAUAAGCACUGGACGUAAUAACCCUUUUUUAUAUCUGACACUUACAAGUUAAAUAUAAAUUUUGAUCAUUUAAUUACAAAAAUACCACCACACUUUUUUAACUUAUAUGUCACAUGUAAAUUCAGUGACAUAAUAAGUUAUUUUUGUGUUAGUAUAAUUAUAUUUAUAAUGUAUAUAACCAUUGCUAUUAUACAAUUUAUAAUAUCUUAUCAUCAUCAUAAAUGUGUUUUAAUAUUUGAUUGAUAGAUUAAAAGAUUAUUAUAAAAGUUUGUUAUAUAUAAUAUAUAUAAAAUCUAUUGUUUUAAAGAUUGAAAGGUGAGAAGAAUAUGGAACCAAGUAAUAACCAAUCCUAAAAUUUUGAUGAAGGAUUCACUGGAAUACAUCCAAGAUGAUAAAGUUCUUAAAAGGCAAGUUUCUUUAACAAUUUCACAUCAAAGAUCUAAAUCUUUGAGAAAAGCUCCUUUUCAAAGGAUUGUUUUUGCUCUACAAAUAUUUUAUUCAUAAAAAUGGUGACAACCCUUCUUAUCCAUUGCCUCAUGAAAGCUUUAGAAAUUAUGUCUUAUAUUAUAACAAUCCAUUGCAAAGAAACUCACAAAGAAUUAUGUGAAUGUUAAUUUAAAUAGAUUUUUUCUCAAUAAAAAUAAAGCAAGAAGAAUAUCUUUUACUAAGGUUGAAUGAUGAUGAAGAUAUGGAUGAAGGAGUAGAGGUUUGUGUCUAUUAUAAUAAUAAUAAUAAUAAUAAUAAUAAUAAUAAUAAUAAUAAUAAUAAUAAUAGGAAAUAUUUAUACUCUAACUUUCAAGAAUUGGGAAAAAAAUAUUAUAUCUUGAGUGAUAAGGGGAAAACUUUCUUCGAAUAAUCAUAAAUGACAUAGUAAUGAUACCAUUAUGAAUGUUUGUCAUCCAAAAAAUAACAAGUUAUGUGUUGUUCUUGAAUUUGAAAAGAUUAAAAGGUGAAAAGGACCUAUAAUGGUUGACUCAAUGGAAGAGUUUCAAACUAUAUUAAUUAGUGUCAUUAGUCUUUUAUUUCAGAUCUAAAAAGAAAGAAUAAAGUUAAAAAGCAUUUCAAACACUAGUAAUCGGAAACACCAAAAAGGGACUACAGAGACUUGAAGGCACCUUCUUCAUAUUUUCUUUUUAUUCAAUUUUCUUCUUUAAUUCUUUGUUCUAGCUGAUGAAUCAGUGAGGCGUGAGAGAGGACCUCAUGUUAUACAGAUCUUGUACUACAGAUCAUACCAUAUGAAAAUCAGUAAGGAUUGUCAAACUUAGUGUUAAAAUAGACUUUACAGAAAAACUUGAAUAUCAUCACAGAUUCAGAACUUCUUGAGAAAAAUUUAGACACGUGAAGUAAACUUACUUCCACAAGCAAUAUGAACCAUGGAGCCAUUGUUAGAAAAUGGUGAUUGACACAAACAAUUGGUUGCUGCCUUCUUCCCCAAACAUCAAAUAUAAGUCAUGCAGAAUAAGAAAGUGGAGCUAGAGGAAAGUGAAGAAUAAGGCAAAUGAUCGGGGUGGACUUUUAAGCUUUUUGGUAAUCUAAAUGAAUUCAUAGAUUGGGGAGGCCAGAUAACAUGCACUUAAGAAUAUACACGGAAAUUGGAUUAGUGAACUACCACCAAGUCCUUGGCUCAAUUAAUAUACCUGAGAUCGGUUGGAUUAAAGGCAGAGACAAUAGCUAAUGGGAUAUGAGCAAUUUUUGACCAUUCUUCACCAUGUCCUCUAGCACAUCUUCCUUCUAGCAUUGAGCAAUUAUAUAUGCAGAGUCGUUGUAAAGAUACAAGAUUCCGAAUUCCAUCAGGUAUUGAUUUCAAACAAUAGCAAUUACUGAUUUCAAGACUCAAGAGUGAUGAGAGAUUCCCUAUCCAGUCUGGUAAACUGUUGCCACAAUAUCCAUCUAUUACUAGUCUUUUUAUUGAAUGAUGUGGCUGCAGGCCUUUCAAUAUCUUUUCGUCUUUUAUUUUAUUUUCAUCGUCCACCCAUCUGUUUUCUUCUUCCUUACGUCUAUUUUUAACAGGAUCCUUCCGAUAUUUAGUCUCACGGAACCCCCACCGUAAUUCCAAAUCUUGAAGAUGUUGCUUCUCCAGUAAUAUGUUUGCAGACUCAACCACUGCAGCAUUUUCUCGCAGGGAAUCCAAGCAUUUAAUUACUAAUUUUCCUCUAAGGUUGUUUAGCCCACUCAAUUCACUUAUAUCAACGUUUUUACUUUCAGAGUCCAAUAUAAAAUGUGUCAGUGUUUGAAGAUUGGUCAAUUGUCCCAACCCACAUGGCAUACAUCUCAAUUCCCCACAAUCAUUCAAUUCAAGAUGCCUAAGACUUUUGUUGAUAUCUGAGGGUAAUUCUUUAAAUUUGCCACACCGAGAUAGUUUUAAAGUCUGCAAGUUAUGUAGGCUAGUAACAUCUGGUGGAAGACUUACCAGAAACCUAUUAAAUGAAAGAUCAAGAUAUCUCAAUUGCUUCAACUUUCGAAUACUAUCUGGAAUUGUUAUCAAAUGCAACCCACAGAGUGUUAACACCCGUAGGCACUUUAUGCUUAAGAGAAAAGGAAAAUGAAGACUUGGCGGAGGACCCAAAUUUUGUCUUCCAUAAAGUGGCUCUGGCUGUCCAAGCAAAAUAAAUGUCCUUAACUUGUUGGAAGAUGAUGAUGUUUUCUCUGAAAAAUGUAAUGAAGUACAAGAGGACAAAUAACGUGUUCUGUUUUCAAUGUGCUCUUUUUUUCCUUCAACAAAGGCGUAUUCUUUUCCAACAACAAGCUGUGCUAGAUCAUGUAUCAGGUCAUGCAUUUUACAAGUAAGAAUGUCACCACAAUCAUCUAAAGUCACAUUUUGGAAAAGUGACAUUGACAGCAAAUUCAUGAAGUACUCAUGACCAACAUCUUCUUCACAUCUAUUGUCUCGUGAUGGUUGAAUGAACCCCUCAGCCACCCAUAACUGAAUGAGUGUUUUCUUGUCAAACUCAAAAUCUUUUGGAAACAAUGAACAAUAAGCAAAACACUUUUUCAAAAAUGAAGGAAGAUGAUCAUAACUCAGUUUAAGGAUUGAAAAAAUGUUGUCCUUGUGUUGAUCUAUCUUUGAAAACUCAACUUCACUAAAAUAUUGCCAAUCACUCCGACCCAAGUUUCGAGAGUACAAGAGGCUGCCAAUAGUUCUUAUGGCAAGGGGAACCCCAGCACAUUUUUUAACAAUAUCCCUUCCCAUGGCUAACAAUUCCAUAUCAUUUGGUUCUUUCCCCCCAUCAAAAGCCACUCGAGAGAAUAGCUUCCAAGAUCUUUCUAAAUCAAGACCUUUCAAGAAAAGGGGUGGAUGUGUGGCUACUAUUUUCGCCACAGUCCUACUACGUGCUGUUACAAUUAUGGCACUUCCUUUACCUCCUUCCACGACUAAGCUCUUGAAUUUAAGCCACAGUUCCCUAUCCUCAUUCCACACGUCAUCCAGCACAAGUAGAAACUUUUUUCCACGAACUUUGUUUCUAAGAUCUUGCUGUAGUUGCUCAAUCUCACUAUUCUUAUCAUUCCCAAUCAUCUUUUCGGCUAUUUUGCUGAUGUCAAAUUCAUCUGAGACACACACCCACAUUUUCUGCUCAAAAGAGCAUUGGACAGCAUUGUCAUUAAAAACAAGUUGAGCGAGGGUAGUCUUACCUAGUCCUCCAAACCCAACUAUGGCUAAUACAGACACAUUGUCUAUCACACUCACUUUGGUGUCAAGCAAAUAACUUUCAAGAAGUUUCUUUUCCUCCUUUCUCCCAAUAACAUCAUCUUCUCUCACAAAAGAAUAAGUUUGUCUCUGCCUCCUAUAUGCAAUUGGAGUCUCCAUAGGGCGGUCAGUCAAUUGCAAAGUAAUCUUGUUUUUAGCAAUAGCAUCUAGCCUCUUCUGGAUUGCUUUCAUUUGAUGACCUAAUUUAAAACUAUAGACAAUUUGGUUUUCUUGGGAGAAGAAAACCUGUAUCUUUCUCAAGAUUUUUCUAGCACCAAUCACUUUUCUUUUCAUUGCUUCAGAGGAGAUAUCAUUGAGCAAGUCAUCUGCAUCAUAAAGUACAUCUUUCAGCUCCUCCAACCAAUUACUGAUUUGAAGGUUGUUGGCCUUUCCCUCUGCAUCCAGGAGCACAGCCUUUAUUGCAGAUACUGUGCGCUUCAUUUGCUGUACGUCAUCUUUGAGAUUCCAAAUGAUUCCAAACUCCUCUUGAGCAAAAGAGUUCAAGUUUUGUAAUACUAUCUGAGCAAUUACUUCCAUCCUUUGCCAGAUGAAGUUUGGUACAAACAUUAGUAACAACAAUGUUAGGGAUCAAACAAUUUCACAGCCAAAUGUAGUUUUGUACAGCAUUAGAUAUCAAAUAAUUUCACAUCCAUAACAACAAAUGAAUCCUUUAAAAAAUAAAGUGUGGCCAGCUACAUGGGUGACAGCCACCAUAAUGUUCUGUUAUAAAUCAUAUCAUUUUGAUUGUGAGCAAUAUCCUCACAGUGGGUGUUACCUCUCCUGAAAAAUUCUUCUCCAUACACACAAUCAGGGAAUCAAACCCUUUAAUUUGCUUAAAGAACUCAGUUAUCUACGAUUUGUGUUGAUAUGUUAUAAAUCAGAUUUGAGGAGAAAUCAUUGACCUUGGAAGUCAAAUAGUCUUGUUGCAUAUAACAAGAAAGGAGCAGACAAAAUUCCAGUUAAGAUGAUAAAAAAAAUCAACGAGUUCUACUAACGUUUUCAAAACAUAUUGAUUAACUGAAUAGGACGCGAUUACAGAAACCAGAAUUAAAAUAAAAAAGUAAAAAUGAUGGGUGUCUAUAUAUGUUGGAAUUGAGAGAGAAAAUUCCAGAGUAAUGAUAUUAGUUGCAUGGUUUAUGAUGAAAUUAAGUGGUGCUAUCUACAAUAGAACAUCUUAUUGGUUGAAUACCUAAGAAAGUUAGAAUUAGAGAGACAGGGAGAGAUAGCUGACCUGCUUUGGAAAAAGGAGUGUAAAUGCAGGGGCAACAGUUGUGGGCAAGUGUUGAAUAUCAAGAGAUAUGAGGAGCCACCCAUAUAAGGGAAAUAAAAAUAAUAUAAUAUUAUUUUCACAAGUAACAAAUUUUUAUACAUACUUUAAAUUCAUUCUGUACCUUUUAACUAGCAUGGUUUAAACUAACACGUAAUCUGUGCAUAUGUUUAGAGGAAUGAAUACUUUAAUAAAAAUUAUGUAAUUAAAUAAAAGUUUACCAUACUGUUUUAUUAUAUAUUGGUUUUUUUUCAAGAUUGAACUUUAUAAAUAUUUUGUUAACUUUGAAACAAUGUAAUGUUUUAAAAAUUAAAGAUGAGAUAAACUAUUACUGAAAUUUAAAUACAAAAAAUUAGUUUAAUAUUUUAAAUAUCAUAUCUUAUUAUAUUUUAUAUAUAUAUAUAUAUUGCAAAGUAAAAUAAAUACAUAAUUCAAGCGCACAAUAUUUAUUUUAUAUUUAAGUUGGAAAAUAUCUCAGGAAAAAAUUUAUUAGGAAUGAAUCCAACUUUAUUUGUGUCAAUAUAUUGUGAUUGUAAAUUAAUAAUUGCUAUACCUAAACAUAAAAACUACGAUUAAAAGAACAAACAUAUAUAAUUAAACAUAAUUUGGUGAAACAACUAUUAAAGAAUGAGAUAUUUUUCAUUCACUGUCUGAAGUUAGAAUGUGAAAUCUAGCACAUCCUUUAACGAAAUCCUUGUGAAGAAAUAUGGUUUUAGAAUCAUUUAGGAGAAUAAGACUUAAACCCUUUGCAAGUAAACAAAUGAUAGUAACUCAACUUUUAUGAUUGAAGAUCCAUGAAUAAGGUUUAUAUAGGUAAAAAUAAAUCACUUGUUGGUUCAUAUAACACUAAAUUGAUUUUAAAUCAAUUAUGUACAUUCAUAUGGUGUGUGUCAAUGUGUUAGAUACUACAUUAUUGAAAGGUUAGACUUUGUAAUUAAAAUCCUAGUGUAAGAAUUUUAGUCUAACAAAGUUUUUAAUGUUUUUCAUAUCUUUUAUGGGUGGGUUGUAUGAUUUGCAACAUACGCUUGAUUAAAUUACCUACAUGAGUGUCGAGUGUGGUGACUUGCAUGAGAUCUUGGAAUAAUUUUUAGAACACUUGUAAAUACUAGACACACGCAUCGCCUAUUAAGCACAAUACAACAAUAUAACAACAAAAAUUAUGAUGAUGUAUUGUGAUUGAUAAACCGCUAAGACAUAUUAUUGUUCUUGGUUUAUAUAACUUAUUAUGUCAACUACAAUAUAUGUUAAGUUUCUCAAUAAGAGUACAUAUUCUAUAAAGGUUUGCUUUUAUAAAAAAAGAGAAAGAGAGAGAGAAAAUAUUACAUAUAGAGAGAUUUUUUAUAUUUUUUAUUAUGAUAAAAAAAAUGGGAGAAAAUUUUUAAAUCUUAAAUGUCUUAAGAAAUUGUUUAAUGCUUUCCUCUUUUGUAGUACGUGUUUUUGUAGGUUUAUUACAAAUACUUUAAAAAAAUUGAAUACCAUAAAAAAAAAGGAGAAAUUGUUGACUAAAGAAAAAGAUGUUGGAAGUUUUUUAGUUUAUUUGUAUGGAAGUUUUUUAGUUUAUUUGUAUGAUGAUACUAAGUAAAAAGAUGAAAUAGAAGUUAAUGAUUAUUUGGAAGGCUUGUAUUUUGUUUGUUGUAAUGUUUUGAUUUGUAAUGUCUUUAUAAUAUUCUUGUAAUACUUGUUAAAGUAUUUUAGCUCAAGUCUAGAGAGUCAUAAAGUAACAACAUUUUGAAACACUAAGGAAAAACAAUUUUUUAAAUAUACACGAUGAUAAUCGAUUAUCACCUAUGACAAUUAACUAUUGCAUAAAGAAAUUAUUUUCGAAAAAUAGUUUUCGAUUAUAACUUAACUUUACAUAUUGUUAACCUAAUUCCAAAAUUUGGCUUUAUAAACGAAGUAAGGAAUUCUCUUUCAAAAAUAUAAGAGUUGGGUUAUAAUUUUAUGUGAAAAACUUUGAAAGCCUUUUGUGGAUAGAACAAUAACUUUAAUCAAGUGUGAUCUUGAGUGACUGAGUACAAAUGUUCUUGUUAAGUGAAACUAUUUAUCCUUUGUGUGACUCAAAUAAAGUGUUUAUACCUUGUGGAUUUUAUUCUUUCGUCUUUUGUAUAACUCAAGAGGAGUGUUUAAUUUUUUGUAAUAUUAAAAAAAAUGUUUAUUUUCUUAUGGUUUAAAUAAAAGUGUUCUUAAUAUCUUGGGAUUCUUCGGGCAAAGCAUGUAUUCUUUUUUAAACUAUUCAUUCUAUUAUUGUUUGUUAUUUUAGUUUAUUUUUAAUUGUUAGUUAAUUAUUAUUAAGAGUGGUUAAGAAUGACUUCUUUCCAUUCCAUUAUAAAAUUGUACAGUAUUAUACUAUUAACUUUUGCUUUUUUAUGUUUAUUUUUGUUAAAAUAGGGUAUUAUUAUUAAUCCGACAGCUUUUAUUUGUUGUCUGUAAUUUUGUUUUUUUAAAUACAGUUAACUUCUAUUACCAAUAAUACCUGCAAGGAUAUUUUUAAUUUAAUACUAAAGAAAUUAUAGAAUACUAUAAUUAAGAUUAGUAGUAUUAACAAAGUAGGGGUUACUGAUAAUAAAAUUUGACAGUAUUAACUUUGAUAGAUAUAGCAAGUUAAUUAAUUAGAGUGUUCUUACAGUGGAAUGGUGGUUAUACUCGUAAAGCAUAAUUUUGAAAACUUGAUGUUGAAGAUGGUGUCUGAUAGAAAAUGAAAGAAAGAAGAAAAAGCAAAGAAUGAUGAAAGCAUAAAAGAGAUUUUAUAUAUGAAGUGAGAGUACAAAAGCAUCAUAGACAUUCUGGUUACAGAUUCAUGGAAAGAGAGAGAGAAGAUGAUUAUUGAUGGAGGCACUACAAAGAUGAAAGUCUUUUAUUUAGGAGAUAGAUAAUAUGCUACGUUGCAUGGUUUAGAAGUGACCAUUUUCUUCAACGGGUGGGUGCUUACCAUAAGGGGGCUUAUGGUAUGGCUUUGGUUUGGGUUUAGGCUCGUAAAUUGGUGGUCUUGGCUUGUGGAUGGGUGGCUUAUACUUACGGGGUGGUUUGUAGAAGCUGUCAGACUCAGAUUCAGCAGCAAGCCCUUGAGGGGUCAGAAUCAGAGCCAAAAGGAACAACACAACCAAAGUUAAGAGAGAAUUAGCCAUCUUCAUUCUGUUAUUGCUUCUGCAUCUUACUCACUCAUUCAUCUCCUUUUAUAGUCAGCCUUCACGCACGUCUCAAUCCAAUUCAUUUAUCGUUCCCUCUGUCACUGUAUCAAAUGUCAAACAUUUGGUGUGCAUUUUUCUAUGCCCACUGGUCCCAUUUUGUAUCUCUCCCACUUAAUAAUACCCUCUGUGUUUAUCUCUCCCACUUACUUUUUCUUUAUUAUCAUACCAUUCUCCAAACUUUAUCGUUAAUUCUCAUCUGAAUUCGACCACUGUCGGAUACAACAAAACAAAAACACUUUCUACUACUCAUCUAGUAUACUCUCUAAUAAUUACAGAACCAUCUCGGAUCCGGUUCCCGGAUUGUUGCCGACAACACUAUUCGGCCCUAUGACACAUUUAAUUUAUUGAAUUCGUGACAAAAAUUAUCUCUGUAAUAAAAUUUAAUAUAAAUUUUUUAAUAACGUGUAUAAAUAAAUAGGAAAUGUUUUUUAAUAAUUUUUUUACAAUAUUAUUUGUGAUUGAUUUAUUUUAAAUAUUUUUUUUUAAAAUAAAUUUAUAUAGAUCAAUAAAACAAUAAAAUGUGACUGUUGUCAAAAAAAUUAUUAUGGAAAAGUUGUUAAUAGUCUAAAUAAAUAAUACAAAUGACAUAUUAUUAUUUGUUUGGACCAAUUUUUGUGAUUGUGACUUUUGUUUUAAUAGUAAAAUUAUUUUUUUGGUUUAUUCUUAAUUGAUCAAUCCAUUUUAUUUUGAAUAGGAAUAAUAGUUAACCUUCGUGAUUGUUUACAACACAUUUUAUUACAUACUGAUACAGUUGUUAUCAUGUGAUAUUGAUUCACACGGAUGAAUAUUUAUAUGAAGACGAUUAUUUGAUAAUGUAUUUUUAUUCUAAUUAUUUUAAUUUAAUUAUUUUUUAUUUUUCUGAAGUUCUAACUCAUAUCAUUAUAACUUUUUCUUAUUUUAUUAUCUUUGUCCUGUAUUCAAUUAAUUAAAUAAAAACAAAAAACAAAUAUCAUUAAACAUAAUAAAAUAAAAAUAAAUAAAAAAUCACUUUACUUAAAACAAAAUUAAAACUAUUUGGGUCCAAAAAAAAUAUUUUGAAUUGAAAUUUUCAUAAACAUGAUGACUUCACUUAAAAAAAAUGUUGAAAUUGUAGCAUUUCAUAAGACUUCAACUAUAAGAAAACCUUCAUAAGUAUAAUAACUUCACUUUAAGAAACUAAAAAAAAGAAUAGAAGUCGUUAUAGUCGUACCAUCUAAUAUGACUUUAACCCAUAUGUACGACUUAUCUUAUUGUGUAAAAUUUUAAAAAUCUAACUUCUUUACAUAAAUACAAAAGUUGAUUAAUUCCUUUUGGUUAAUUAACCUGUUUACAAAUACUUCACUACAAUAUUGGUAUGUUGAUAUCAAAUUCAGUCAUGGAAUAGUUUAAAUAGAGACGUAGUUUAAAUAGUUUUUUUUUCUACUAUAAUUUAUCCAUAUAUUGUAUAAAGACAUGACAAUUAUUGAGAAAAUGAAAAAGUUCAUUGUCUAAGAAAGAUAAAGAAAAUGAGCUAUAUGAUUAAGAUAUUAUAAAGGAUGGAUAAUAUUUUAUGUAAUAUUUAUUACUACACAAAAAAAAAAAAACAUUAGAAUUAAUGAAUGGCUAUAGUUGAAAGAAAUAAAAGAAAGUAGUAAUAGUAGUGGAGGAAGAAAAAGAACAUAAAAAUCCAUUAUAAUGGCUAGUUUUAUUAGUGUCUCCUGUAUAAGAAAUGAAAAAGUGGAUCUAAAACAAGAGAGAUAAGACACAACACUUUGAUAAAGCGACAAGAAGCCUAUCUUGUUUAAAUCUCAUUUUGUUCUCCAAACAUCUUAUUUGUUAUAAAAACUCUCAUUUAGUAUAUAUCUAAUGAGUGAUUAUAUGCUAGUGAGCUUUCUUUUUGUAACUUGUCUUUGAGACCUAAAAACCUAAACUUAGAAGUAAGUUUAAAUAUCUAUUUUUGAGUUUUACACUACAAAAACUACAGUAAUUAACGUCCACAAAAACCCCACGAAGAAAACAAAAGAAUAUGAAUCACAUAAUCGAACAAAAAAAAAAUAAGAAAAUUUUAUCUUAGAAGUCCCACGUUAACUUGAUUAAUGAUCAAUUUAUAAUAUAUAAAUGGAUAUAAAUCUCAUCGUACAAAUAGUUUUUUAGAAUUGAGUUAGAUUUAAAAUCUGAUUUUGAGUACUGACAAAGAUAAACACAAUAUACAAAUUCACAAAAUGGAUAAUGAUAUUUAGACAACAUUUUUUUGAUAACAUUUAAACAUCACCUACGUGUCAUUUUGUUAUUGGUCCAGUGGUGUUUAGAUAGAUAAUCCUGAACACGCAACCUCCAGUCAUGUUUUUUCCUUUUUACAUGUGUUCUUUUUUCCUUUUAUAAAGGGGUUCACCUCUUUGGCCAGUGUAACUUUUCAAUACAUUAUUUCUCUCCCCUUUCUUGUUUGUCUUCCUUUAGCUAUGCAAGACAUGUUCUUUUUUGCUUUUCUUUUUAGCCUAAUGGUUCACACUGUUCUUGUGUCAGUCUAUUAUGCACAACUUUAAAUAUAAAAUUUAUAUUUUGAAUUAUUUUAGAUUAUAAAAUAAAAAUAUAUAUUUUAACUUACAAAAUCCAAAAUAAAAAUUUUAUAUUCUAAAAUAUAUUAUUCAAAUUGUAUAUUUUAAAACUCAAAAUAAACAUAUGUAUUGUUCUUACGAAUCAUGUAUUCUUGGAUUGAGAAAACCUGAAACGUGUGAUGUUAUGUUAUGGGAGAGCAUGAGUACCAAAGGAGGAGUUUGUGGUUGAGAGAAUAAUGAGAGAAAAUUUAGUGUUUUCUUUUUUUUCUCUUAAUCUAAUCUAAUAACUAUAGAAAAUUCACUAUUUUAGUAACCUCAAUUUUACAUGCAUUCUAUUUCUUCUACUUAGACCCUAUUAAACUCCUCAUCCAACAUAUUAAUUUCAUCUAUACCAUAAAAAGGUAAUUAAUUAAAACACAAAAAUAACAUAAAUAGUCACAUGCAAAAUUUAAAAUUAAAUCAAUAUUAUGAAUUUUCUAAGACUUAAACACUAAAAUUGAUAAAAAAAAAUAAAAUAAAAAACAAAAAUCAAAAUUGUGACUUAAAAAAAUGAAAUAGUAAAAUAAGUAUUAAUAUAUUUUAUUUUUAAUAAGUUAAAAAAAUAUAAUAUUAAUAACAACUUUAAAUUUAUUAAUUUUAUUGAUUACUAUGGUUAAACACAAGUAAAUUUUUUAAUAUAUAUCAUAUAAAAAAUAUUUAAUAAUUUUUUAUAAUUAAUUACAUAUUAAAAGUAAUUUUUCAUAAUAAUUUGUAAGAAAACAAACACGUAUUUAAUUAUUUUAAUAAUUAAUAUAAUAAAAAAGACUAAAAAUUUUAUACUGAAAUUAUAAUUUUUUUAAUUAUACUAAAAGAGUAUAUAUCAACAUUUAUUAUAUUAAAAUAAUUAUUUAUCCUAAAAUACACAAACUAAAUUAUUGAACUGAAUUAUAUAAAAUUAAUAAAAGAGAAAAUAAAAAUAAAAAACGUGUAAAGAAGGGACAAAAUUAAAUGUGAACACAUAUUUGUAAUUAAUAUAUUUUCGGCUGAUUGAAAAGGUGUUGAUCAGUAUACGACGAAAGUGUCUUUGUCUGCUUGAUGCCAUUUCCAUCACAGUAGAAGUAGCCGACUGCAACUCAUCCUCCAUUACUGUAUAAUUGUUUCAACUUUUCAAGACUGAUUCAUGUGCUUUCACAUUUAUGAUCAAUGUUUUUGGACAGAAACAUGUUGGCUAUAUUAUUCAUUGUUUGGUUAAAUUUCGAUAAGGUUUGAAAUUUCAACGGAUAGGUAGGGAAUAUGAAAUUUGCUACUCUCAAAUUAAAGACUAUAGUACCAUUCUUAUUGUGAGUCGUUGAAAAACUUUAGUAAUUUCGUUAUCAAACUUUUUUCUUUUGCUAGUAAUUUUAUUAAGUUAUGUCAUCUUCUCUUGUUUUAUGUGCUACCACCACCAUUUGUUCUUGUUUUUACUAAUGUAUAAUUAGAACAAAGAAUAAGCUAAUGCAUUUAAAGUAAAAAAAAAAAAAAAAAAAAACAAAAUUAUUAUCAAUUUAUAUUUGAGAAAAACAUAAUUCUCGGUUUAAUUUUCAUUUUUUUCAUCUAUUUUAAAUACUUAUUCACUAAACAUACUAAGUAAAAACCAUUCUAACUAUUCAAACAGUUCAUAUUUAUCAAAAUCAACUAUCCAACAUACAUUAGUGCACAUAACUUUAUUUGCACAAAAAUAGUUCACCUUUAUCAAAAUCAAUUAUCCAACUUUAGCCCACACCACACAUAUAGAUCCAAAUGGCUCAGACAAAUAAAUACAUCUAGACGCUGCUUCUAAAAGACUGGUUUAUCGAAUAGACUGAUGAAUAAAUACAUCCUAUCAUACUUACUACUAAUUUCUUCUCAUUAUAACCAUAUUAGAAACCAAUAUUGUUCAUCAAGUCAUAACAUGAUUAACUUCACUAGUUCCCUGAUUCUCUUUCAUAUCAUAUAGUCUAAAGUGAAGCUUCCUUUGACUCUCACCACGUGGAUAUUUUUCACUAUGUAAGUUGGAUACUAGUAGAGUCGGGAUAAUCUCAUUGACGAAAUCCCUUUCAAUACACUUUGACACACUAAAUAGUAGCAUUUUCAAUUGAAAAUAGGUAUUAGGACUCAAACUGCACAUUAUCAAACCAAACCAAGUUCAAAAAAAUCUACCUUUAUAUAACAUUCAACAUAACUUCCACCCAACACAACAUCCCCACCGCUCACACUCCAAAAUGUAUCAUUUUUCACCCAACGCUUGAAAGCUACCACCUAGCGUCCACACUGCUGCAACUAUGAUGCUCAACGGUGUUCAAGGCCUAACCUAGCGGUAACAAGUCAAUAGUUGGUAUCUUAAGAAAUUUACACUAACACCCAACAAUACCCACACAAACAAAACUGAAACACGUCUAAAAUGCUUUAAAUGUUAAUAUACCAAAGAUAACAUACCCACUUUUAUCAAUAUGAUUCACUUCAUGUUCACAAACUACAUCAAUUCAUUGCUUUCAUCUACUUUAAGUUACCAUCUAUCAAUUAUACAUCAUUACAGACAUAAAUACCCAUAUUGUUGUUCAAGAUAUGAAACCUCAUUCAAAAGAUUUCAAUUCUAUAACACAUCUCUUAUGAAUCUAACCAACUUUCACCCAAAACCCAACAACUAAAAUUGGGAAAAUUGAAUAAGAUAAAAGAUCCUUACACUUACAAAUUUCACAAAGGUACAUGAUACUUUUAUAAUCGGUGCAACAUAAUAAUUCAAGACAUACAUGCACACUAAAACACUAAUUACCAAUAUGAUAUAUAUUCUAAAGUUAUUUAAAGUUUCAAACACAUUAAAAGGAUUCUAAACCUAGUGCAAAAAUCACAUACAAAUUUACUUACAUCAAAUAUACUAAUUUCUCAAUAAUUGAUAGAGACAAAGGUCCAACCAAAACUCAACCCUUCUCAAUACCAUUCUAUUAUAUAUUGCCACAGUACUCAAAACAACCAAAAACCAAAUUUCUCUUCUUCCUUCAAUAGUUUCACAAGUUCGACAUUUAGAUUUUCUUUAUUAAGCCAACAUCAAAAACAAUUUUGCACGUCUGCUACAUUAAUCACAAAUAUAGUCCAAUCUAAAUUUCUCAAUCAAAUUUUGUGCAUCGUAGAUUUCCAUGCAUAUAAUUAUGAAUACAAAUUAAAAAUAAACUAAAUGAUUAGUUUUCCUUACCUUAAAGAAAAUUCUUAGUGCUACUUUUCUCCUACACAACUUCAAAAUGUAUAAUUGCUCUAUCUAUAUAUACAACCGAAAAAGAGCCUCAUGGAAGAGAUAAAACAUAUUACUUUAACGAAAAAGAGACAAAAAUUGAAAUUACUCAAAAGAUGAAAUUGAUCGAUACAAAAUGUUCCUUAGCUCCUCAAUUUCAACAUGAUGCAUUUUGAUUUUGAAAAAUAUGAGAAAUUAAAGGUGAAAUUUGAGAGAGAAGGGAGAAAAAUGGUUGAAAGAAAAGAAAAAAUUUUAUAGUGUGUGUGGGGUUUACAAUAUGUAUGAGUAACUUCUCCAAGCCCUUCUAUAAGGGCUAUUUUAUAAUAUAGCAGUUGCUUCCAACAUUUCCUAAAAUUAUAGUUAUUAGUUGUGUUCAAUAUAGUAAAAAGUAUGUGAAGUACACAGGAACACACUAGAGAGAAGGGAGGUGAAGAGUGUUUUCAAAACAUUUUCACAAAGUAGCAUCUAAAUAACUUGUAAUGAGAAUAUAUAAAGGUGUACUAUGCUUUGACGCUGGUUUUAUGGGAUAGGUAAAUAAGAAUAGGUUCAGACGAUGGCAUUUCAAAAGAAUUUGUAAAAGCUUUAAGGGGAAAAACAAUAAAGUGCAAUUUUUAUACUAGUUCACUCAAUCUGAGCUAUGUCUAGUUCUCUUUUAAAAAUUCUUAGGGGUUUCAAUAAUCUUAUCAAAGAUUGCACAAGUUUAACCCACUCUUGGUUGCAAGUAUUCUUACACCACUCCUGGUCUCCUAGUCAACACAACUAGUCCGAGUUUAGUCUCUCUAAGAUAUAACCCUAUACAACACGUCUAGACUGAGUUUACCGACUCCUGGUUGUAAGUAUUCUUACACCACUUUUGGUCCCCUAUUUAACACGAUUAAUCCAAGUUUGACUUCUCUAAAAUCUAACACUAGACAACUGUCUAAACGAGUUUACUCACUCUUGGUUGCAAGUAUUAUUUUUCACUCCUAACACCCGAGUAUUUUAACCAUUCCUAGUUUACAAGUGUAUGAAUACAAAAUGGAAAUAACUCUUUUAGAAAGGAUGUUUAAUGAGAACAAAAUAUUCCGAAGUUCUUGUAAUUGCUCUCUCUCUAAUCAAAUGACAUAGGCUUAGAGCAAGACGCAUUUCUGUUGUUGACUCUCCAGUUUUCUCUCCUCUUGAUUUUUUUUUUUGCAUUAGACGCUAUGAGCACGAAGACAAACAUCAGAGUAGAUUUUCAAUAAGGUUUUCUUUUCUUUUCUUCUCUUCUCUUUUCUUUUUUGAAAGCUUUGAAAACUUUCAUGAUGGAAAACUUAGAGUUCUAUAAAAUUUAAGAAAUAAGAAAGAAAUUGAAAUCAUAGAAAGAUCCACAACAUUUCGCAAAAUUUUUGACAAGUGCUCAAUACUUCAAUUAUAACUAAUCUACUUUUGUAUUUAUGUAAAAAAAAUUGAAUUUUUAAAAUUUUACAUAAUAGGAUGAAGUCAUACAUGGGUUAAAGUCAUUUUAGAUAGUAUGACUGCAACUGAAUCAAAUUUCUCUUAUUUGAAGUUGUACGAGGUUACAUGACUUCUAUUUUUUAUUUUUUUAUUUUCUUAACGUGAAGUUAUUAUAGGUUUAUUUAAAAACAUUAUUUUAAUAUUAUAGUUGAAGUCAUAUGAAACGGUAUAACUUCAACAUUUUUUCUAAGUGAAGUCAUCAUGUUUAUGAAAACCUCAAUUCAAAAUAUUUUUUUUGGUACCGAAGUAGUUUUAAUUUUGUUUGAAGUAAAGUGAUUUUUUUAUUUUUUAUUUUAUUAUGUUUGAUGAUAUUUUAUUUUGUUUUUAUUUAAUUAAUUUAAUAUAGUAGUAUACUAUAUGAGUAGUAGGGUAGUAGAAAGUGUUUUUGUUUUGUUGUAUCCGACAGUGGUCGAAUUCAGAUUAGAAUUAACGAUAAAGUUUGGAGAAUGGUGUAAUAGUAUAGAAAAAAGUAAGUGGGAGAGAUAAACACAGAGGCUAUUAUUAAGUGGGAGAGAUACAAAAUGGGACCAGUGGGCAUAGAAAAAUGCACACCAAAUGUUUGACAUUUGACAGAGUGACAGAGGGAACGAUAAAUGAAUAGGAUUGAGACGUGCGUGAAGGCUGACUAUAAAAGGAGAUGAAUGAGUGAGUAAGAUGCAGAAGCAAUAACAGAAUGAAGAUGGCUAAUUCUCUCUUAACUUUGGUUGUGUUGCUCCUUUUGGCUCUGAUUCUGACCCCUCAAGGGCUUGCUGCUGAAUCUGAGUCUGACAGCUUCUACAAACCACCCCAUAAGUAUAAGCCACCCAUCCACAAGCCAAGACCACCAAUUUACAAGCCUAAACACAAACCAAAGCCAUACCACAAGCCCCCUUAUGGUAAGCACCCACCCGUUGAAGAAAAUGGUCACUUCUAAACCAUGCAACGUAUCAAGUUAUCUAUCUCCUAAAUAAAAACACUUUCAUCUUUGUAGUGCCUCCAUCAAUAAUCAUUUCAAUCAUCUUCUCUCUCUCUUUCCAUGAAUCUGUAACCAGAAUAUCUAUCAUGCUUUUGUACUCUCACUUCAUAUAUAAAAUGUCUUUUAUGCUUUCCUCGUUCUUUGCUUUUUCUUCUUUCUUUCAUUUUCUAUCAGACACCAUCUUCAACGUCAAGUUUGAAAAAUUAUGCUUUACGAGUAUAACCACCAUUCCACUGUAAGAACACUCUAAUUAAUUAACUUGUUAAUUAUAUCUAUUGUUCCGGUGAUAAUUUUUGGGGACCGAGACACUAACCUGGAUGACGUGGCUUUCCCGCUUUCUGACGCUUGGACUGGUCGGAUUGCUCGCUUUUCCUGGAUCUUGACCGCUCGCUUUCCUUCACCCUUGACCGUUCGGUAGUCUUCAAGCUUUGACCGAAGGGGGAGGUACCUGCAAAAGGCACUCCGACGCCCAAGUCAGGCGUGUGAUGGAAGAACCUCGGUUCUUAAUUGAAUAUUUAGUGAAGGGUUUUCACUAUUUGAGAAUAUGAGUUGAAUGUGAAUGAAGUGUGAUUGGAAGUUGAUUCGAAGGUGAUUCGAAGAUACCUGGCUUGUNNN